rnacentral:rRNA from 1 species
AAUGAACGCUGGCGGCAGGCCUAACACAUGCAAGUCGAACGGAUCCUUCGGGAUUAGUGGCGGACGGGUGAGUAACGCGUGGGAACAUACCCUUUGGUACGGAAUAGCCUCAGGAAACUGGGAGUAAUACCGUAUGUGGUCGAGAGACGAAAGAUUUAUCGCUAAAGGAUUGGCCCGCGUUGGAUUAGGUAGUUGGUGGGGUAAUGGCCUACCAAGCCGACGAUCCAUAGCUGGUUUGAGAGGAUGAUCAGCCACACUGGGACUGAGACACGGCCCAGACUCCUACGGGAGGCAGCAGUGGGGAAUCUUAGACAAUGGGGGAAACCCUGAUCUAGCCAUGCCGCGUGAUCGAUGAAGGCCUUAGGGUUGUAAAGAUCUUUCAGGUGGGAAGAUAAUGACUGUACCACCAGAAGAAGCCCCGGCUAACUCCGUGCCAGCAGCCGCCGUAA